UCAGUGUUGCACCCGCAUCUCGCUCAGCCAGCUGUAUUUCAAACAGUGGGAAAAGAUGUUUACCUCAUGUCAUUGGAUACCACAACUAAAGAAAAGGGGCCUGGAAGUGAUGUAGAUUUAAC